rnacentral:rRNA from 1 species
GUGGGGAAUAUUGGACAAUGGGCGCAAGCCUGAUCCAGCAAUGCCGCGUGCAGGAAGAAGGCCUUCGGGUUGUAAACUGCUUUUGUCAGGGAAGAAAUCUUCUGGGCUAAUACCCCGGGAGGAUGACGGUACCUGAAGAAUAAGCACCGGCUAACUACGUGCCAGCAGCCGCGGUAAUACGUAGGGUGCGAGCGUUAAUCGGAAUUACUGGGCGUAAAGCGUGCGCAGGCGGCUUUGCAAGACAGAUGUGAAAUCCCCGGGCUCAACCUGGGAACUGCAUUUGUGACUGCAAGGCUAGAGUACGGCAGAGGGGGAUGGAAUUCCGCGUGUAGCAGUGAAAUGCGUGGAUAUGCGGAGGAACACCGAUGGCGAAGGCAAUCCCCUGGACCUGUACUGACGCUCAUGCACGAAAGCGUGGGGAGCAAACAGGAUUAGAUACCCGUGUAGUCC